rnacentral:misc_RNA from 1 species
UCUCCGUUGGUGAACCAGCGGAGGGAUCAUUACUGAGUUACCGCUCUACAACCCUUUGUGAACAUACCUAACUGUUGCUUCGGCGGGCAGAGGUCCCUCGCGGAUCUCUCCCGGCAACGCCCUCACGGGCGGAGCGCCCGCCGGAGGAUACCAAACUCUAUUUUAACGACGUUUCUUCUGAGUGGCACAAGCAAAUAAUUAAAACUUUUAACAACGGAUCUCUUGGUUCUG